AGACCCGGAGCGAGGGGGAUUCGGCGGAAUAUUACCUGAAGUGAUGAUAUUUUCCGAGGGUCUUUGCCCCAAGGAAAAUAUCAUCACUGAGGGUAAUAUUCCGCCGAAUCCCCCAAGCGGAC